AUGUUUUGCUGCAACAACUGUUCACAGAGGAUGGAGAGGGCAGAGCUGCUGCGAGAACUACUCAUGAGCGGAGCUGGCAUCGACCCUCUCUCCGGCUUUCAAUCAGGUCAACUAGCUGCAAUUUCGAAACAGCAUAUAUCCACUUUCACUUUCUUUUGGAAUUUUUUUACGAGUAUGAUGCGUCGUAGGUUCAGUUUGUGCUCUGUAGAAAACAUUAGUUGUCUCAGAGACAAGGUCAGGUGUUCCCAUCGAUCGAUCUUGGCUACAAACUGCAAAGAUAAAAGGCGAGAAGUGCUUUAA
rnacentral:rRNA from 1 species